rnacentral:rRNA from 1 species
UGGGGAAUAUUGGACAAUGGACGUGAGUCUGAACCAGCCAUGCCGCGUGAAGGAUGAAGGCGUUCUGCGUUGUAAACUUCUUUUGCGGGGGAAGAAACCUUGAUAUUCUUAUCAAGCCGACGGUACCCCGAGAAUAAGCACCGGCUAACUCCGUGCCAGCAGCCGCGGUAAUACGGAGGGUGCAAGCGUUAUCCGGAUUUACUGGGUUUAAAGGGUGCGUAGGUGGAUUUGUAAGUCAGUGGUGAAAUCUCCGAGCUUAACUCGGAAACUGCCAUUGAUACUAUUAGUCUUGAAUAUUGUUGAGGUGGGCGGAACGGGUCAUGUAGCGGUGAAAUGCAUAGAUAUGACCCGGAACACCGAUUGCGAAGGCAGCCCACUAAGCAAUGAUUGACGCUGAGGCACGAAAGCGUGGGGAUCAAACA